rnacentral:lncRNA from 1 species
CUCUUUCCCUUUCUCUUACAGACAUGUGAAAAAUAGCCUAAUAAGGAUCUUCGUGGUAAAAUCAGAUGGAAAACGGGGAGGCAGAGUCGCGUCUCCAGCAGCUCAUUCGACGCGGCGGCUCCUCCGAGUUGUACAAUAAUCAUCAGUGCUGGCCCGGUGCCGCUGGAUUAUUUUGUAUAUUCAUGAAGGCCCUCAUCAGCCGUCAGGAGACUGUGCAGUAAUCCUUGGAUGAAAUAAGGCCAAUCAGAGCGAUAAUGAGGAAGAGACACAUCCGAGCAGGUCAUGGGCUGCUUCCACCGACAGAUGUCCUGAUGUGAAGGAGAGUACCACUGAAGAAAAUGCCUGAACUGCUAUUAUCUGCAUCCUUCAAGCGCUUGUGAGACAGGAUUACGACGUGCCGUUAACAUUAGCCUCAGCACAGUGUCUGGAUGAUCAGCCAUGCCUCUUGUAAAUGUCCCACAUAAACCCUGCAGGCCAUGGGCGGUCACCAUGUGAGAGACAGCAUGGCUCCAUCAGUUGGUUACUGCGGGAUUUCUGCAAAGUAUGGUUCAGAGGAUGUCAGGUCUGUUAGGACCCCUGGGCUGGGAGGGGAAAGGUAGAGGAGGGGUCAGUGACCAGCACAGGACAGAAAAGCAUCUUAAGCAAAUAUUGGAUUGUGAGCAUCGAAGAGAAACAACUCAAGAGGGCCUUCCAGCUGGCUCUAGCUGGCACCCGUUCAAUUCUUCCGGCCAUGAUGUGCCCACAAGAACGCCCCAGGAGAGAUGCUUCUGUAAGGGAGCAGCCACCAGCCACCUAAAUGAGGUCAACGGAAAGAAUGGAAAUAGUUGGAGCCUGGGGAUGACAUCAAACACUGGGUGGGUGAGGGGGAGAAAGGAGGUAUGUGGAGAGAGAGGCAGCCCAAGGGAGGCAGAGACAUGGAUGGGAGGAGUGACAGAAGGGCAGGACUUCAGGCUCUGCACCUCUUUCCGGGUGUUGUUGCCAGCCCUACUCCAACCCUGAGCCAUAAUCAACUUCCUUAAUGAAAUACGUAAUUAACAUAUUAUAAUUGUAGUAAAGAUGAUUUUGACAGAAA